rnacentral:rRNA from 1 species
GCGAACGGGUGAGUAACGCGUGAGGAACCUGCCUCAAAGAGGGGGACAACAGUUGGAAACGACUGCUAAUACCGCAUAAGCCCACGGCUCGGCAUCGAGCAGAGGGAAAAGGAGUGAUCCGCUUUGAGAUGGCCUCGCGUCCGAUUAGCUGGUUGGUGAGGUAACGGCCCACCAAGGCGACGAUCGGUAGCCGGACUGAGAGGUUGAACGGCCACAUUGGGACUGAGACACGGCCCAGACUCCUACGGGAGGCAGCAGUGGGGAAUAUUGCACAAUGGGGGAAACCCUGAUGCAGCGACGCCGCGUGGAGGAAGAAGGUCUUCGGAUUGUAAACUCCUGUUGUUGAGGAAGAUAAUGACGGUACUCAACAAGGAAGUGACGGCUAACUACGUGCCAGCAGCCGCG